AAAUGAAUAGACGGGGGCCCGCACAAGCAGUGGAUUAUGUGGUUUAAUUCGAAGCAACGCGAAGAACCUUACCAGGGCUUGACAUGGAGACGACCGUACUAGAGAUAGUGCUUUCCCUUCGGGGACGUCUCACACAGGUGGUGCAUGGUUGUCGUCAGCUCGUGUCGUGAGAUGUUGGGUUAAGUCCCGCAACGAGCGCAACCCUUAUUGUUAGUUGCUACGCAAGAGCACUCUAGCGAGACUGCCGUUGACAAAACGGAGGAAGGUGGGGACGACGUCAAAUCAUCAUGCCCCUUAUGUCCUGGGCUACACACGUAAUACAAUGGCGUUUAACAGAGGGAAGCAAAGCCGCGAGGUGGAGCAAAUCCCUAAAAGACGUCUCAGUUCGGAUCGCAGGCUGCAACCCGCCUGCGUGAAGUCGGAAUUGCUAGUAAUCGCGGAUCAGCAUGCCGCGGUGAAUACGUUCCCGGGCCUUGCACACACCGCCCGU
rnacentral:rRNA from 1 species